AGAGUUUGAUCCUGGCUCAGAUUGAACGCUGGCGGCAUGCCUUACACAUGCAAGUCGAACGCGAAAGGGGGGCAACCCCCGAGUAGAGUGGCGAACGGGUGAGUAAUACAUCGGAACGUGUCCAGUAGCGGGGGAUAACCUCUCGAAAGAGAGGCUAAUACCGCAUACGACCUACGGGUGAAAGAGGGGGAUCGCAAGACCUCUCACUAUUGGAGCGGCCGAUGUCGGAUUAGCUAGUUGGCGGGGUAAAAGCCCACCAAGGCUACGAUCCGUAGCUGGUCUGAGAGGACGACCAGCCACACUGGAACUGAGACACGGUCCAGACUCCUACGGGAGGCAGCAGUGGGGAAUUUUGGACAAUGGGCGCAAGCCUGAUCCAGCCAUGCCGCGUGAGUGAAGAAGGCCUUCGGGUUGUAAAGCUCUUUCGGCGGGGACGAAAAGGUCUGUGUUAACACCACGGAUCCAUGACGUACCCGCAGAAGAGC
rnacentral:rRNA from 1 species